UUUUUUUGGGUUUGUUGUGGCCUUUUUUGUAGUUUAGAAAAAUACAGCGGAAAUUGGCUUACAAAAGUUUGAUAUUCAAACUAAGUAGUUAAAUCCAAGAAAACCAAUAAAACCAAUCGUUACUCAUUCUCAUAACUCAUUUCUACCAAAUUCCUCUCAAACUCUCUUUCAAAAUGUGUUGCGGACCUUGUGGUGGAUGCUGUGGACCCUGCGGCGGUUGCUGCGGACCCUGUUAUUCCUGCUGUGGUCCAUGCUACUCGUGCUGUGGCCCCUGUGGCGGCUGCUGUGGCGGAUGUGGACCCUGUUGCUAAAAAGAACCGAAAAAACUAAUCUAC